CUCUUGUGGAUCCAUUUGGUGAAGGUUCUUUUGUUCAGCAUCACGGCAGUUGGGGUGGGGAGGGGAGGGACUCCAGCCCCAACCGCCCCUGGGCUCUGGGGCUCUGACACGAUGAGCCUUGUUUGAGCCUGGGUGGCAAUUGGCUAAGCAAGGGAAAAAGACAAGCGUCGGGAGGAACCAAAUCGGAACCAUUCCAAGCCCAGGCUUUGGAAGCAGCUGGACUUGGGGCAGAUCACCUACCAGCUCUGUGGCAGAGAUGUGUCGUCAUCUAUAAAAUGGGGAUCCCUUUCAGCAGAUUUGAAUCUGGUGGGUGCCAGUCACUCUGCACCACGGAAGUCGUCCAGAUAGCCACCUUAGCCUCUUCCCCGGCUUCUAAGAUGGUGGCAUCCAAGGUGAUGGCAGUGAGCCUGGCCCAAGCCACCUCGGCAGCCUGUGGCAGUGCCCUCGCCCGACUUCGUCCGCAGCACAAACAGCAGCUCAGGAUGGAAUGGGGAGGACCGGGCCCCUGACCACUGCCGACCUCUGACCUCUGACACUGUGCAUUCACCCUCUGUUCUUCCACGGGAGUCACCCUGUCAUCCACAGCUGCCCUGAGCCAGGCCACAGCUUCCCUGGGAUCUCUGCUGGGGACACUGAGUGGCUCCUCCCUGGUGGAAUCCCCUGCUGUGGCCUUGACUAUCUCCCCACUUGGAGGUAACUGACCCUGGAGAACAAACCCCCCUUUUAGGGCCCCCACUCAGUGCUUGGAAGUGUGACAAGGAAUAGGGCCUGGGCCACAGCCAGCAGCCCUCCCUGUUCGCUAGAAACAUAAGGACUCCCGAGCUUGUGAUAAGCAAUCCAUAAAAUAAUAAGAAAGCUAGAUGUUAUCAGACACUGUGCCCUCCUACUCUCUAUGCUUAGCACUUAACAUGUACCAAUUGGUUUAAUUAUCAUAACAACUGCAGAGGAAGACAACACUGACCCUCAUGUAUGAAUGAAGGAACGUUAGCCAAAAGCCCUGGACCAGGAGUCAAGGUUGGUGCAGCUGCGUUGGAAGGAGGUGAGUCUCUGCAAGGAAGAAGUUCAAGUCCUUAUCUGCCCCCCCAGCCCCAAGGACUUGGGGAGCAACCAUCCUCGUCCAGGCCCAGGUUUGCCUCGGCCUCGCGUGGAUGGUAGAGGAGGAGGCAGAUUGGUAGAGAUGGGCAGGAAGCAAGGAACUGGAAACAAGAAAUGAAGGGGCCUCUGUAGUAGGAUGAUUUCUCAGCAUGGUGCCCAGUGACCCUCACCCUUUUUAAAAAAAAUUUUGUUUUCAUAUUUAUUUAUUUUUGAGGUUGAGAGAGAGAGAGGGACACAGCGUGAGUGGGGAAGGGGCA